GUGCUGGCAGCGAUGACUAGUCAAAGGACGCAUCACCGACAGAAUCAGCAGAUACCACAUGCAGCGGAGUGACCGUGCUACAAACAUCGGUGGUUACCGCGGCGACCGGCAGACAACCUCCUUAGUCAUAAAAUAGUAAUAAUAAUAAUAAUAAUAUCAUAUCGUGCGCUCACCAAGGCCAUACACAUGUAAACAUGACAAAUUUAAACAUAUAAACAUCCACAACUACGACCCACCUGCCCGGCACCCGUCUCGGUGCAGUGUGCCUGUUCGUCGGGAUCGGAACAGUGGCGAUCUCUCACCUCCGUUUGCCCGUCCGACCCUCGUACACGAUUUUCGUUAUUAUUAUUAUUAUUAUUAUUAUUAUUAUUAUUAUGUUUGUGGGGUGCAAACGAUGCCCGACCCGGAGUGGCGUACCUACCUUCCGGGGAUCUUCGUGGUCGGAAACAGGAUGCAGAGUCCUAGACUGGACGUUGCCGACCACCUGCAGUGGUGACGAUCAAUUUUCGGUGUCGGGACGGUACUCGAUGACUACGGCGGCCAUUGCUUCGGACAAACCGCGACGAUCUCAUCAUACGAUUGCUGUCAUUCCCCAUUAGUUAGCCACCCGUCCGGUGACGACAUUACGAUCAAUCACUGGAGUUGGCUAACCGAUGAAGAAUGUCGGUGAUAAAACCGACGAUAUUGCCUACCUACGAAAUGUAGGUGUUGCAGUUGAGUCUCGAUAGCUUGAACCUCGGUAAUAACCUCGAAAACCUCGAAUUUUUAUCUCACCCUUUGAAGUGUUUUUGAGUUCUUUUUGAAGUUUAUAACCCGAAUAAUAUACAAACCGAAUAUAUUUUUAUUCCCCCUUGAGAUUUGAGUUGUCGAGACUUGACUGUAUUAUUUUAUACAUAAUAUUUUAUUAUAAGAUAUAACAUUUUUAUAUGCCAGGUUGCAUGAACUCCAAUCAUAUUAAAAAUAACACUUUAAUGGAUCAAUAUAUAGUGAGCUAUUGGUCCAUUACAUUUUAGCGUACUACCAUUGUUAAAUUGAUCAAUUUUUAUGCGACCAGGAAAUAACUUAAUAUCAUAUUAUUAUAAAUGUAUAAUAUUAACCGCGGAUGAGAUUAUCCGAUUUUUUUUUUUAUUAUCCUCCUUUACCCUGCAGUAUACAUAUAUUAUAGAUUUAACUCCAAAAUGUAUUGAAACUUAAGUAUACUUAUCCAAUUAUUGUUUUAUUAUGUGACUUUCGCGUUUACUGUUAAAAUUUUAUUGUAAUAUUAUUAAAUUAUUUUCUUGUAUAGUUUAUGUAGUUAUAUAUUAUUAUACAAUAAAAGGUGUAACAAUCGUAA